rnacentral:lncRNA from 1 species
GCCGGGGCGUCCCCCGCGGGAGCCCGCAGCCACCCGGGACGCGCAUCCAGACGUGGCGCUUCGGACCGGGCACGCUGCGCCCGGGGGCUCGGCGGACCCCGCGUAGCCGCCGCUUCGGAGCUUGUGCGGCGCGGGCUGGCCAGCGGGGCGGCCAGGGCCCGGCCCGCCUCCCCAGCGCCCGCCCGGCUUCUCCCCCUGGCGGUGGGAGCCUCGGCGGCCGCUGGCGACACUAGGCGCACUGAAGCCCGAGCCGAGCCGAGCCCGAGCCGCCGCCGCCGCCGCCGCUGCUGCGCACCGCUCCCGGGCUCCCUCCCAGCGCGCCGGCCGGGGUGUGGGGGGCGGCGGGCCGGAGGGGCGAGGGCGGGCCAGGGGGCGCACACGGGGGUUGGCGCGGAAGACAGGACCCUCAGCCUCGAGGGAGCCCCUAGGUGACCAGGCAAAAUGGCAGUUCCUUCCAGCUGGUCCUCAGAUGGGCACAUCUAUUAGCCUCUGCUCUUGUAAGAAGUUAGCUGCAGAACCCACAUGUGAAUCCUUGUAGGACUCUGGAGAAGAUCAAAUGGGAGCUUAGAUGUGGAAGCUCUUUGGAAACCAAGAAACACUCUGAAAAUGAAAAGGGUGGAAGAGUAAACUGUUCCUGUUUCUCCAUCUUGACAGGAAGCAGAAGUUCUCCUUAGCUGAUUUUUCUUCUUGCCUUAUACUGGGUUCUUUAACACCAGAACAAAAAUAAAUAAAUAAAAGAAUCUUCCAGAAAUUCAUGAAGAGACUUCAGGUCAGGAAAGCCUGAACUUUCUCAUCCAACACCCGUUCAAGUCGGAGGAUGCUGAUUAAUUCAUGAUGGAAAGGUAUCAAUUUCACAGCCCAGACCUCUACAUUCUUGAAAUGCUCUUCUCAUGGGAGACAUUAAAUAAGCUUUGAAUUAACUGAGACCUCUGUGGAUUCUAUAACUCAAAGACCCAGGCUGACGGCUGGUGGAAUAGCUACCAUCUCAAACAUGGCGUGAUGCUGCAUCAGAGAGAAAAAUAAGCUCUUGCAUUGACAAUGAAAUGUCUACCCUGUAGUGACUUGUGCUUACUUCCACUCACAAGUGAUUGCCCAGAGCUACUUACCUGGCUCCAAUCUACCACUGGGUGUGUACUUGCAAUCUACCAUGUACCUAGAAGAUGAGAGAAACAAAUUAUUAAUGAUGACCACACCCCAAUACUAACAACAAUUGCAGAAGAAUCAAUGACUUAAACAAAAAUGUGGCCAUUGAAGGAAUAGAAAAUAUAGUGAGUUUAGUGUAAAUUUAAAAGUGAUUUAUAAGUAACAUACAAAAUCCAGAAACUAUAAGAAAACAGAUUCACAAAUAUAAAUAUAUAAAGCUUUAAAAAAGUUUAAUGUAACAAAAAUGGCAUAAAAGGAGUCAAAAGUUUUUAAAAAAUAUGUUAAUGCAGUAGAUUAGGUGCUAAUUUUCUUAAUAUACUAAUAACUCAAUAAGAGAAAUUUUGUAUCUAGAAGAAAAUGAACAUGGAAAUAGGCAAUUCACAGAUAAUGGCAUUCAUCUGGCGAAUAAAAAAAUGUGUGACAUUCAGAAUAAAAUAAAAAUGAAAUACUGGUUUUCAGCCAUCACUUGAGCAAAACUGCAAAGAUACAAUGAGACUCAGGCAUUCCCAUAUACUGUGGAUGGGAG